GAAAACGCCCAAGAAUGACGAAAUUUGAAUUUCCCGUGCAUUCCACAUCGACGAUUGUCGAUUCGGAACCACUCGGGAACCCUCGGCGCAGAUGCCGUUUUCCAGCCAUUUUUUUUACACUUACUUUGAGUGGGGAAAUUCUCGGAUGUUUUCAAGAGGGUCCAGCUGCAGAAGACUGUAGAGUGGAACUCCACAGGAAAUAUGUCAGCUCCACAGGAAACACGUGAUCUUUAAGAACGUAAAGUGGGGCUAAUCUUUACGCCGUAAAAUGGAGCUCCACAGGAAACACGCGAUCUACACUGUGUUUGUACCAAGAGAGAGUCUGGACUAAGUCUUCGAACCUGAAGUAAGUUAAGCAAAACACGCGAUCUACACUGUGUUUAUACCAAGAGAGAGUCUGGACUAAGUCUUCGAACCUGAAUUGCCAUUACAUUAAAAGGAACAUUGUUUUAUAAACCAAAUUGUAAACAUGGAUCCCCGUUUAAAAGCGGCUUUGCUUUAGAAAAGACAAAAUUAUACGGCGGUACACACUACCAUGCCGGGAUCCAUCAGUCGGACAUUGUCACCCGGACUUGGCUUCCUCCCUACAACCAUGAGCCACUUCAAUCCCUUCCUGAAGCUUGCAGAGAAUAUCAGUCCAGGGGAGUGGUCUGAAAUAAAUGGCUUUGAGUUGGAGGGGUUUCCAAGCCAAGACUUUGAGGUUGACUGUGGCAUCUACAUGUUGAUGUUAGACAUGCCGAAAUUGCGGAAAUGGUGGUGCCUGCUGCUAAUGGAAAACUUCGAUCUCCGAAGUUAUAAGGUAUUUGCACACUGGACAAAGGAAUCAGAGGCUGUGCUGAGAGGUGAACAUGCACCUGUAUUCAGACUAAGAAAGCGCAAAUCUGUGGAACUUAGCCUGAAACCAGCAGAAGGGAUGUGCUGGAUGGAGACAACAUAGAAUCCAAGGAGCCAUUCCUCUUUGGUUUUCAGGUCCAAGAGGACAUAGAAUUAUUUUUACAGGCCUGUGUUGACCAGCGGGGCCUUCGGGUUAAUGCUGUCUGUUAUAAGAAUGAUUAAAUUACUGGCACAUGAGUGUGUUGAU